GAUGAACGCUAGCGGGAGGCCUAACACAUGCCAGCCGAGCGGUAUUGUUUCUUCGGAAAUGAGAGAGCGGCGUACGGGUGCGUAACACGUGUGCAACCUGCCUUUAUCUGGGGGAUAGCCUUUCGAAAGGAAGAUUAAUACUCCAUAAUAUAUUGAACGGCAUCGUUUAAUAUUGAAAGCUCCGGCGGAUAGAGAUGGGCACGCGCAAGAUUAGCUAGUUGGUGAGGUAACGGCUCACCAAGGCGAUGAUCUUUAGGGGGCCUGAGAGGGUGAUCCCCCACACUGGUACUGAGACACGGACCAGAAUCCUACGGGAGGCAGCAGUGAGGAAUAUUGGUCAAUGGGUGCAAGCCUGAACCAGCCAUCCCGCGUGAAGGACGACUGCCCUAUGGGUUGUAAACUUCUUUUGUAUAGGGAUAAACCUACCCUCGAGAGGGUAGCUGAAGGUACUAUACGAAUAAGCACCGGCUAACUCCGUG
rnacentral:rRNA from 1 species